AUUGAACGCUGGCGGCAGGCCUAACACAUGCAAGUCGAGCGGAUGAAGGGAGCUUGCUCCUGGAUUCAGCGGCGGACGGGUGAGUAAUGCCUAGGAAUCUGCCUGGUAGUGGGGGAUAACGUCCGGAAACGGGCGCUAAUACCGCCUACGUCCUGAGGGAGAAAGUGGGGGAUCUUCGGACCUCAUGCUAUCAGAUGAGCCUAGGUCGGAUUAGCUAGUUGGUGGGGUAAAGGCCUACCAAGGCGACGAUCCGUAACUGGUCUGAGAGGAUGACCAGUCACACUGGAACUGAGACACGGUCCAGACUCCUACGGGAGGCAGCAGUGGGGAAUAUUGGACAAUGGGCGAAAGCCUGAUCCAGCCAUGCCGCGUGUGUGAAGAAGGUCUUCGGAUUGUAAAGCACUUUAAGUUGGGAGGAAGGGCAGUAAGUUAAUACCUUGCUGUUUUGACGUUACCAACAGAAUAAGCACCGGCUAACUUCGUG
rnacentral:rRNA from 1 species